GAAAAACAAAAGCGUAUUUGAGCAUAAAGUGAGAAAUGAUACCCAGGACCAUCUUGUGGGCAAAAGCAAAGCCCCGCCAGAAAGUAUUAAAAUAAACAAAAUCAAUACCCAAAUCAAACGUUUGUUGAUUGAUCAACUUUACCAUUUUUCAACAAUCCCUCUUCUUGUUCUGUUUCUGUGUUGGGUUGCUAAUAGCUGUCUCUCAGCAUGGGACUCUGCUUCACCAAAUAUCGUUCCCAUGAAAUCCCCAUCACUUCUUCCUCAGACACAACUUUUUUUUUAACCAGAAAAUAGGACUUCAGUCAAGAAACUGAGGAAGACUACAUCCUAUCGAAGUCGAGCAACCUUUGAAGCUGGCGUGGAGGGUUUGUAAUCCAUCCAGGAACAACGUCACCCAAUCUAACAGUGUUAGCAAAAUUGCUUAGGAAAGAAAAGCAAAAGCGCAUUUGAGCAUAAAGUGAGAAAUUUUUCCCAAGACCAUCUUGGGGGCAAAAGCAAAGCACCUCAAAAAAGUAUUAAAAUAACCAAAAUCAACACCCAAAUCAAACGG
rnacentral:misc_RNA from 1 species